UGUGGGAUCUAUAUGGGUAAGGCAAACCCAGUAUCCUUUAAAAUCAGAAUGCCAGACUGGAUUGGUUGCAGUAACAGCUAAAUUUGCUCAUCCUGGUUUGCUUGUAGGACAUAAAUGCAAGAACCUGCCAAGAAAACCAAUGGCCAAGAUGAUUGAUGAGUGCAGGACCUGAGAGAAGCACCUUGAAUGACAACCUCGAGCAGUUUCCAGUAUUGGAUUUAAAAGAUGGCCUUUGCUGCAUCUGCUUGAGCAAGGAAAGCCAAGAAACCUUUGCUUUGGAAGGAGAAAAUCUGGAAAGCAGGAAGGAAGAAAAGCAGCCCCCUGACUCCUCCCUGAGCCCCAGACAGCCCAUGAACUGCCUUGCUGGGAAUGGUAGGACAGGAUGGACUCUGGAUUGCUCCCUCUGGAUGUGUGGAACUCCAGGAACUCCUGGUGCCGCCUGGGCCGAUGGAUUGGACGCCCCAGCCCCUCCGUUCCUGCCCAGCCACUGGGUCCGUGUCCAGUGGUGGCACUGCCAGCCCUGCAGUGGGAUGUAGCCUGGAAAGUGCACAGAGCUGAGCCAAGGGAUUGAAAGGGAGCAACCAAGAGAGGUGAAGGAAGAAGGAAG